UACGUAGGGUGCAAGCGUUAAUCGGAAUUACUGGGCGUAAAGCGUGCGCAGGCGGUUGUGCAAGACAGAUGUGAAAUCCCCGGGCUCAACCUGGGAACUGCAUUUGUGACUGCACGGCUAGAGUGUGUCAGAGGGGGGUAGAAUUCCAGGUGUAGCGGUGAAAUGCGUAGAUAUCUGGAGGAAUACCGGUGGCGAAGGCGGCAUCCUGGACCGACAUUGACGCUGAACGGCGAAAGCUAGGGGAGCAAACGGG
rnacentral:rRNA from 1 species